UAUAUCGUCGGUGGGCUUCGAAAAGGCCCUAUCUCAAUUUUUGCGAAAAUCGUUUUAGGUCAUUUUCUUGACAAACAAACCGAGGCGCGCAUUGUGCGAAAACACCCGUUUAGAUAGCCAAUCGGAAAGUGAAUUUAUUGCCAUGUGAGAAAAAGACGUAUAAUUUUUGGAUGAAAAAUUUGUUCCGCGAAAAUGCCCGAUAAUUUUUAGGAGUGAAAUUAGAAAGUAAAAACGGAGAAAACUCGGAUUUUCUUAUGAAAGUUUCAAAGAUCAGCAUGUUUAAAGAUUACAAUCACACCCAAGACUGGUAGACAUUUAUUUUCUCGGAGAAAUAACAUAUAGUGUUCUUUAAAAAGGUGUCUGAUGACCACUAUCUUGAUAAAUGUUCAAUAUUUCAAUUUUGAAUUAUUGGACUAUUUGAUUUGUAACAACUGCAAAGUGAUGACAAUAACAUUUAAUCUAUUUACAAAAGAUGAGAAAAACUUCUGCCAGAAAUCCUACUUUUGAAAGACUUCAGUGAUCUCGUGUGGCUUAAACCGUAGGGAAAGGGCUUGCGGUUUUAUCUUACGUGUCUGUUUGACUUCAGUCUAAAUGCGACUGAGAAGGACACUAUUUAUUCUUUCAAAGUCCAGUAAAUGGCCAAGGUCGUCAAUCUACUGUAAACUCAUUUGAAAAAGAGAAACCGGAACAUUAUGUGAACAAUGCAAAAGUAUCAUGGUUUUCUUUAAAAAAAUUCUUGGAGAACAUCUUGACUGAAGACAAUAAAGUAAAAGAAAUAGUGAUAUAGAUUUACAGGUGUUGCUACCAAUACCAAAAAGUGACACUUGGAAAUUCUUAGUAAAGACUUGCAAAUAUAACACAG